AGCUGGACCUUGGGGUGCGAAGAGAGAGACGACAUGAAAGCAGCUCAGAGAUGGGACCACCAUCAGACCACUCAGAAGACCCUCUGCGCCCAAGGACACGGGGCUGACACUUCCUACGUCACCCUCCCAGGAGGACAGGUUCUGCUAUUGACGUAUGGCUUAAAUCCCACCACUGAAGAGUCAUUCUUUCGGGCAAACGCUGCUCUCCCAAGCGACAUUCCUCUAAUAUGCUGAACCACCCAAGUACCGGGCAGCUGGAGCCCUGGGUUCCAACUUGAAACCACCCCAGAGCUGUGACCUUCAAACUCAGUGUUUUGUGGACUGCCUACUGCUGAGAUAGACUUGAAGAGCCAGCGCCCAUGAACAAUGCCAGAAAAAAUUCCCUCCUGUCUUCCAUCUUGCUUUUACCAGGUGCCUCCACAAUUAAAGAGAAGCAAAAAGGAACUUCAAUUAUAUCAUGUGGUGAUGGUUAAACAUGCCAGAAAUUACAGAAGGGAGGUCAGAUAAUUAUUUGAGAUUUUAAAUGUACAAAUGUUAUUAUCUUAUUAGGUAAGAUGGCAGGAGUGAAGGAAAAUUUCUGCAUCCUUUCAAGAUGUAUGCUAAAGUAUUUGGGUGAAAAAUAUCAUGGCAUCUGACUUUGAAAGACUUCAUUGUAAAGAAAAGAUUUUUUUUGUUUUUAAUGGCAAAAUGUCAACACUUGUUAAGCCAAGAUUUACAGGUUGCUCUAUUUUUCUGCAUAUCUCAAAAUUUCACAAGGAAACGUUUUAAAAUCAGUUCUUAUUUCUUUUAGGAACAGAAUUUUUCUGUGGGGGCAAGAUGAGUAAUGUUAAUCUUUUUUUCUCCUCCAAAGUACAAAAUUAUACAGUUUAUUAUAGAAGCUUUUAGGUUAUACUAAAAAUCCUCAGAAGAGAGGAUAAAAGUCACCAUGAUAUCAACACAGAAACAACUCAGGGAUGACCACUGUUAAUAUUCAUGGGCAUUUCCUUUCUUCUAUGCAUAUUACGAACCAUUGGGAAUCACACUUAUGAGGAUGGACCUACCCGAACUUACCAAUAUUUAUCUGACGAAACAGAAAUGAACAUCAUUCAACUUAAUACAUACAAGAGCACCCUAUACCUCUACAAUUGAACUUAUAAUUUUUAUGGCUGAAUGGUAUUUAUCAGUUGAAUAUACUUCAUUUUUUUCACAAACAUUUUAUUAUUUUGGAAAUUAUCGGGCAUUUAUUUUACUCCUAGUUUUCUGCUACUAUAAAUAAUGAUGUGAUUUACAUUUUGGUACAUAGAUCUGUAUCUGAAAUGUAGAUUAUUUCUUUAGGUAGGUUCCCCUGUGCAAGAGAAUGUGAAUAAGUUUAAGACUCUUGACCCAUGUUGCUGAAUAAUUUUUCAAAGGUUCUGUUCUCCCACCCACGGUAAUGAGAUUGACUUUCAAUGCACUCACUCCAGCUUUAGGGGUCCUUUCAUGAAUACAGUCACUAAUGCAGUGCAGGAAACGUGCAUGCCAAGUUGCGUUAAUUUACUCUUCUUUAUUUGGGGAACGUUUUCAAUAUUUCAUUAUCUCUUGAAUGUCUCCUCUGUUCAUUAUUUGCCAUGUUAUCUCUGAGAGCUGUAGUUUUUUUGUCUUCCAGUAUGAACAUCUUUUUAUUGUUUUUUUCCUGAUUAUAACAAUAGUACAUGCUUAGCGUAGAAAAUGAAAGAAAGAAAAUACUCUAUAACCUCAUCGCUUAGGGAUAACUGCUCCAGUUAUUCUGGUAAGUUUUCUUUAGGUUUUGCUUUGGUGAGAUACACAUGCACACACACAGGUGCACACACAGACACACACACGGACUCAGAAGUACAUGCAUAUUUUCAUGCACACCCACACACACGCAUGCAACAUACCAUUACACACACAUGCACAGAUGUGUACACACAUACCUAAGCAUGCAUUAUAAAUACAUUUCCCCUUUUCUAUUUACCACUAUUUUAUGAACGUUUUAACAAAUCAUUAAAAGUUCUUAAUAAACAUGUCUUUAUAUUCCAACAUACCAUUUUAUGCAUGUAGAAAAAGUUAUUAAUAUUUCCUUAUCAUUGGACAUUUAGAUUAUUAUACACAGUAGUGUAUACAUGUCAAUCCCAAUCUCUCAGUUCGUCCCAACCCCCCUCCCCCCCUUGGUAAACGUAAGUUUGUUCUCUACAUCUGUAACUCUAUUUCUGCUUUGCAAAUAAGU